UGGCGGUGUCGUUCCUUCGCUGUCCGAAGAGCGUCUUGCAUCUGUAUUUGGAACUCUGAACGUUGAGGCCACUGAGGCCAUCUUCCUGUGAAGAAAGGGGUGGCCCGUAUAUCUCUGAUGUCCUCUUCGAUGCUUCCUGCCGUGGUGUUUGGCACAGAUGCAGCCCGUUUGCAUACUGGAGGAGCCUCGUCUGAUGAUGUCUGGUAGCUUGUUGGCUUUGUAAUUAUACGCUUUGGUCGUUCUUCCAUCUAUGCAAGACGCUCUUCGGACAGCGAAGGAACGACACCGCCACAGAGGACAUAAUCAACGUAGAACGGCAGCCGGCCCAAGGAUACAGCGCGACUUAUGGAGCGACGAGCGUGCAGACGAGGAAGAGGAGCAGGACCAGCAAGACCCGACAUAAGAUGCAUGGGACGAGGAUGAGGUCGAAGACAACACUCACGGUCGCAGGAGAUCGAGAGAGAGAGAGAGGGAGAGGGAGAGGGAGAGCGAGAGAGAGAGGGGGAGAGGGAGAGAGAGAGAAAGAGAGAGAGAGAGGAGGGUGCAACAUGCACGCACACACACACGCGUACACACACACACACACGCAAGCACAUACCACACGUUCUCUUCUCCAAGAGAGAGAAAUAAAUCGGUACUUGUCAGCGCCUAUUUUUAAAACAUAACGGGAACACCUCAGUGCAAUAAAAGACAUUUUUGAAUGCCAAUAUCUGGAUCGGUACUUUUUAGUGCCAACUUAGGCUAAUAUUACAUGUAUCGUACGACAAGCUUUUCGGAUACAUUGAUUGGCGUGCGCGGAGCAAUCCUAGAAAUAUUGUUUGUUAACUAAUCAACGUAUUCGAAAAGAUUGUACGACAAUCGUGAUCGUGCGACAGAUGUAAUAUUAGCCUUAUAUUUUAGUGUAUUUUCGACAUUGAAACAA